rnacentral:rRNA from 1 species
GACGAACGCUGGCGGCGUGCUUAACACAUGCAAGUCGAACGGAAAGGCCCUGCUUUUGUGGGGUGCUCGAGUGGCGAACGGGUGAGUAACACGUGAGUAACCUGCCCUUGACUUUGGGAUAACUUCAGGAAACUGGGGCUAAUACCGGAUAGGAGCUCCUGCUGCAUGGUGGGGGUUGGAAAGUUUCGGCGGUUGGGGAUGGACUCGCGGCUUAUCGGCUUGUUGGUGGGGUAGUGGCUUACCAAGGCUUUGACGGGUAGCCGGCCUGAGAGGGUGACCGGCCACAUUAGGACUGAGAUACGGCGCAGACUCCUACGGGAGGCAGCAGUGGGGAAUAUUGCACAAUGGGCGGAAGCCUGAUGCAGCAACGCCGCGUGCGGGAUGACGGCCUUCGGGUUGUAAACCGCUUUCGCAUGUGACGAAGCGUGAGUGACGGUAAUGGGUAAAGAAGCACCGGCUAACUACGUG